GGUAGCUAUACUUUCAGUUCAUUAUGUGAUUUCUCAUAGUCACAAGCCAUAAGAGCAAACAAAAUAUUAAAGUACCAGUUACCAAGAGUUCUUAUAAAUUUUCACGAGAAAAGGGAUUCACUUUCAAAAGCAGAGCGAAGGCGCAGCCACACUUAGAAAUGGAAGAAGGCAACAGGAAAGUCAAUUCUCAGUAAUAAGCCAAGACGUACAAUUCUGCCAGGGUCAGGACAAUUUUCUUAACAGACUACGUGUUGAUGUAGAGGCUGUCAACCUUUUUUUCGAUUUCUGAAGACCUUAUAUAUUGUGAAUACUAUCUGAGCUUAGUCAUCGUCCA